rnacentral:rRNA from 1 species
UUCCGGUUGAUCCCGCCAGACCUGACUGCUAUCGGAUUGAUACUAAGCCAUGCGAGUCAUUGUAGCAAUACAAGGCAUACGGCUCAGUAACGCGUAGUCAACCUAACCUAUGGACGGGAAUAACCUCGGGAAACUGAGAAUAAUGCCCGAUAGAACAUUAUACCUGGAAUGGUUUAUGUUCCAAAUGAUUUAUCGCCGUAGGAUGGGACUGCGGCCUAUCAGUUUGUUGGUGAGGUAAUGGCCCACCAAGACUAUUACAGGUACGGGCUCUGAGAGGAGUAGCCCGGAGAUGGGUACUGAGACACGGACCCAGGCCCUAUGGGGCGCAGCAGGCGAGAAAACUAUGCAAUGUGCGAAAGCACGACAAGGUUAAUCCGAGUGAUUUCUGCUAAAGAAAUCUUUUGUUAGUCCUAGAAACACUAACGAAUAAGGGGUGGGCAAGUUCUGGUGUCAGCCGCCGCGGUAAAACCAGCACCUCAAGUGGUCAGGAUGAUUAUUGGGCCUAAAGCAUCCGUAGCCGGCUCUGUAAGUUUUCGGUUAAAUCUGUACGCUCAACGUACAGGCCGCCGGGAAUACUGCAAAGCUAGGGAGUGGGAGAAGUAGACGGUACUCGGUAGGAAGUGGUAAAAUGCUUUGAUCUAUCGAUGACCACCUGUGGCGAAGGCGGUCUACUAGAACACGUCCGACGGUGAGGGAUGAAAGCUGGGGGAGCAAACCGGAUUAGAUACCCGGGUAGUCCCAGCUGUAAACUAUGCAAACUCAGUGAUGCAUUGGCUUGUGGCCAAUGCAGUGCUGCAGGGAAGCCGUUAAGUUUGCCGCCUGGGAAGUACGUACGCAAGUAUGAAACUUAAAGGAAUUGGCGGGGGAGCACCACAAGGGGUGAAGCCUGCGGUUC